GCAGUCGAACGGUAACGACACUAGCUUGCUAGUGGGCGACGAGUGGCGGACGGGUGAGUAACGCGUAGGAAUCUACCUAGUAGUGGGGGAUAGCCAAGGGAAACUUUGGGUAAUACCGCAUACGAUCUAAGGAUGAAAGGGGGCCUCUCUUUGAAGCUCUCGCUAUUAGAUGAGCCUGCGUAAGAUUAGCUUGUUGGUGAGGUAAUGGCUCACCAAGGCGACGAUCUUUAGCUGGUCUGAGAGGAUGAUCAGUCACACUGGAACUGAGACACGGUCCAGACUCCUACGGGAGGCAGCAGUCGGGAAUAUUGGACAAUGGGGGAAACCCUGAUCCAGCCAUGCCGCGUGUGUGAAGAAGGCCCUAGGGUUGUAAAGCACUUUUAGUAGUGAGGAAGGCUCAGCAGUUAAUACCUGCUGGGAUUGACGUUAGCUACAGAAAAAGCACCGGCUAAUUUCGUGCCAGCAGCCGCGGUAAUACGAAAGGUGCAAGCGUUAAUCGGAAUUACUGGGCGUAAAGCGCGCGUAGGCGGCUUGGUAAGUUGGAUGUGAAAGCCCCGGGCUCAACCUGGGAACUGCAUCCAAAACUGCCUAGCUAGAGUAUGGUAGAGGAUGGCGGAAUUUCCUGUGUAGCGGUGAAAUGCGUAGAUAUAGGAAGGAACAUCAGUGGCGAAGGCGGCCAUCUGGACCAAUACUGACGCUGAGGUGCGAAAGCGUGGGGAGCAAACAGGAUUAGAUACCCUGGUAGUCCACGCCGUAAACGAUGAGAACUAGCCGUUGGACAUCUUGCAUGUUUAG
rnacentral:rRNA from 1 species